GGUUAAGCGACUAAGCGUACACGGUGGAUGCCCUGGCAGUCAGAGGCGAUGAAGGACGUGCUAAUCUGCGAAAAGCGCCGGCGAGGUGAUAUGAACCUUUGACCCGGCGAUGUCCGAAUGGGGAAACCCAGUGUGUUCCGACACACUAUCGUUAACUGAAUACAUAGGUUAACGAGGCGAACCGGGGGAACUGAAACAUCUAAGUACCCCGAGGAAAAGAAAUCAACCGAGAUUCCCCCAGUAGCGGCGAGCGAACGGGGAGCAGCCCAGAGUCUGAAUCAGCUUGUGUGUUAGUGGAACGGUCUGGAAAGUCCGGCGAUACAGGGUGAUAGCCCCGUACACGAAAGCACACUUGCUGUGAACUCGAAGAGUAGGGCGGGACACGUGGUAUCCUGUCUGAAUAUGGGGGGACCAUCCUCCAAGGCUAAAUACUCCUGACUGACCGAUAGUGAACCAGUACCGUGAGGGAAAGGCGAAAAGAACCCCGGCGAGGGGAGUGAAAAAGAACCUGAAACCGUGUACGUACAAGCAGUGGGAGCCUACUUGUUAGGUGACUGCGUACCUUUUGUAUAAUGGGUCAGCGACUUAUAUUCUGUAGCAAGGUUAACCGUAUAGGGGAGCCGAAGGGAAACCGAGUCUUAACUGGGCGUUAAGUUGCAGGGUAUAGACCCGAAACCCGGUGAUCUAGCCAUGGGCAGGUUGAAGGUUGGGUAACACUAACUGGAGGACCGAACCGACUAAUGUUGAAAAAUUAGCGGAUGACUUGUGGCUGGGGGUGAAAGGCCAAUCAAACCGGGAGAUAGCUGGUUCUCCCCGAAAGCUAUUUAGGUAGCGCCUCGUGAAUUCAUCUUCGGGGGUAGAGCACUGUUUCGGCUAGGGGGCCAUCCCGGCUUACCAACCCGAUGCAAACUACGAAUACCGAAGAAUGUUAUCACGGGAGACACACGGCGGGUGCUAACGUCCGUCGUGAAGAGGGAAACAACCCAGACCGCCAGCUAAGGUCCCAAAGUCAUGGUUAAGUGGGAAACGAUGUGGGAAGGCACAGACAGCCAGGAUGUUGGCUUAGAAGCAGCCAUCAUUUAAAGAAAGCGUAAUAGCUCACUGGUCGAGUCGGCCUGCGCGGAAGAUGUAACGGGGCUAAACCAUGCACCGAAGCUGCGGCAGCGACGCGUAUGCGUUGUUGGGUAGGGGAGCGUUCUGUAAGCCGUUGAAGGUGGCCUGUGAGGGUUGCUGGAGGUAUCAGAAGUGCGAAUGCUGACAUAAGUAACGAUAAUGCGGGUGAAAAGCCCGCACGCCGGAAGACCAAGGGUUCCUGUCCAACGUUAAUCGGGGCAGGGUGAGUCGACCCCUAAGGCGAGGCCGAAAGGCGUAGUCGAUGGGAAACAGGUUAAUAUUCCUGUACUUGGUGUUACUGCGAAGGGGGGACGGAGAAGGCUAUGUUAGCCGGGCGACGGUUGUCCCGGUUUAAGCAUGUAGGCGG
rnacentral:rRNA from 1 species